rnacentral:snRNA from 2 species
AUCACUUCUCAGCCUUUUGGCUAAGAUCAAGUGUAGUAUUUCUGAAUUUUCACUUUUAUUCUGUUGAUCUAUAUGUUUAUUCCUUAUGCCAGUAUCACAUAGUCUUGAUUACUGUAGCUUUGUAGUAAGUUUUGAAAGCAGGACAUGUGAGUCCUCCUGCUUUUUGCUUUUUACC